CAUGUAGGUGGGUUUUUAAGUCAGUUGUAAAAUAUUAAGGCUCAACCUUAAUUCGCAAUUGAUACUGGGAAUCUUGAGUUCGAGAGGGGAUGGUAGAAUAUCUAGUGUAGCGGUGGAAUGCGUAGAUAUUAGAUAGAAUACCUGAGGCGAAGGCGACUGUCUGGCUCGACACUGACACUGAAAUGCGAAAGUAUGGGUAGCAAACAGGAUUAGAUACCCUGGUAGUCC
rnacentral:rRNA from 1 species